UAUUAUGGUGGGCUGGGCGAGGCAGCUUUAUGCUGGCCGUGUUCCGAGAGAGCGGUAGGUCCAACCUUGUUCAGUUCACCACCCAU
rnacentral:antisense_RNA from 1 species